CCUACGGGUGGCAGCAGUGAGGAAUAUUGGUCAAUGGACGAAAGUCUGAACCAGCGACGUAGCGUGAAGGAUGACUGCCCUAUGGGUUGUAAACUUCUUUUAUAUGGGAAUAAAUUGUUCCGCGUGUGGCAUUUUGUAUGUACCCUAUGAAUACGGAUCGGGUAACUCCGUGCCAGCAGCCGCGGUAAUACGGAGGAUCCGAGCGUUCUCCGGAUUUAUUGGGUGUAAAGGUCGCGUAGGUGGUUUGUUAAGUCAGUUGUGAAAGUUUGCGGCUCAACCGUCAGAUUGCAGUUGAAACUGGCAGUCUUGAGUACAGUAGAGGUAGGCGGAAUUCGUGGUGUAGCAGUGAAAUGCUUAGAUAUCACGAAGAACACCGAUUGCGAAGGCAGUUCACUGGACUGCAACUGACACUGAGGCACGAAAGUGUGGGGAGCAAACAGGAUUAGAUACCCUGGUAGUC
rnacentral:rRNA from 1 species